GGGAAUAUUGGACAAUGGGCGAAAGCCUGAUCCAGCCAUGCCGCGUGUGUGAAGAGGUCUUCGGAUUGUAAAGCACUUUAAGUUGGGAGGAAGGGCAGUAAGUUAAUACCUUGCUGUUUUGACGUUACCGACAGAAUAAGCACCGGCUAACUCUGUGCCAG
rnacentral:rRNA from 1 species